rnacentral:rRNA from 1 species
AUUGAACGCUGGCGGCAGGCUUAACACAUGCAGGUCGAGCGGAAACGAUGGUAGCUUGCUAUCAGGCGUCGAGCGGCGGACGGGUGAGUAAUACUUAGGAAUCUACCUAGUAGUGGGGGAUAGCUCGGGGAAACUCGAAUUAAUACCGCAUACGACCUACGGGAGAAAGGGGGCAGUUUACUGCUCUCGCUAUUAGAUGAGCCUAAGUCGGAUUAGCUAGAUGGUGGGGUAAAGGCCUACCAUGGCGACGAUCUGUAGCUGGUCUGAGAGGAUGAUCAGCCACACCGGGACUGAGACACGGCCCGGACUCCUACGGGAGGCAGCAGUGGGGAAUAUUGGACAAUGGGGGCAACCCUGAUCCAGCCAUGCCGCGUGUGUGAAGAAGGCCUUUUGGUUGUAAAGCACUUUAAGCAGUGAAGAAGACUCCGUGGUUAAUACCCACGGACGAUGACAUUAGCUGCAGAAUAAGCACCGGCUAACUCUGUGCCAGCAGCCGCGGUAAUACAGAGGGUGCAAGCGUUAAUCGGAAUUACUGGGCGUAAAGCGAGCGUAGGUGGCUUGAUAAGUCAGAUGUGAAAUCCCCGGGCUUAACCUGGGAACUGCAUCUGAUACUGUUAGGCUAGAAUAGGUGAGAGGAAGGUAGAAUUCCAGGUGUAGCGGUGAAAUGCGUAGAGAUCUGGAGGAAUACCGAUGGCGAAGGCAGCCUUCUGGCAUCAUAUUGACACUGAGGUUCGAAAGCGUGGGUAGCAAACAGG